rnacentral:rRNA from 1 species
UAUUGGUCAAUAGCCUAACGGUUGAACCAGCAACUUGGAGGAACGAAAAACCGAAGUCAUGAGCGGUUGCCAUAUUAAUAUAGAAUGUGGGGCAUUUAUGCGAAUAGUUCGAAGUAAAUUUUGAUAAUGACAAUAUUUACUUCAAGGUCUUGACCAACCCAUGUGCCAGCAGUCGCGGUAAGACAUGAAAGGCAAGCGUUAUUCAUCUUUAUUAGGUUUAAAGGGUACCUAGACGGUCAAAAUAAGCUUUAAAUAGUACUUAAUUGACUAGAGUUUAAUGUAAGAAAUUUAGCACGGUGAGUGUAGGGAUAAAAUCCUUUGAUACCAUUUAGAGACUGGUUUAGGUGAAGACAAUUUUCUAUGUAAUAACUGACGUUGAGGGACGAAGGCUCGAUAUAAGAAACAGGAUUAGAUACCCCAGUACUCAGGGCAGACAAUGAUGAAUGUCAUAUGUAAGAGGAUUGCCUAUUAUGUAUAAAUGAAAGUGUAAACAUUCCACCUCAAGAGUAAUAUGGCAACAUAUAAACUGAAAUCAUUAGACCGUUUCUGGAACUCGUAGUGAAGUAUGUUGUUUAAUUUGAUAACCCACAAAGAACCUUACCACAAUGUGAAUAGUUAUAUACUUUUGUAUAUUUCGGACAAGCGUUGCACGGCUGUCUACAGUUGAUAUCGUGAGAAAUGGUUAGAUCCAUAAAUCAGCGUAAUCCCUGACUUUAUUUAAUAUAGAGUAGUUCAACCGAAAAUCCAAAAAAACUAGGUUUUUUUUCUCUUUGGUUUAGAAUACAUGGGAGCAUGACAAGUCAUCAUGGCC